rnacentral:rRNA from 1 species
GAUGAACGCUGGCGGCGUGCCUAAUACAUGCAAGUAGAACGCUGAAGGAAGGAGCUUGCUCUUUCCGGAUGAGUUGCGAACGGGUGAGUAACGCGUAGGUAACCUGCCUGGUAGCGGGGGAUAACUAUUGGAAACGAUAGCUAAUACCGCAUAACAGUAGAUAUUGCAUGAUAUCUGCUUGAAAGGGGCAAUUGCUCCACUACCAGAUGGACCUGCGUUGUAUUAGCUAGUUGGUGAGGUAACGGCUCACCAAGGCGACGAUACAUAGCCGACCUGAGAGGGUGAUCGGCCACACUGGGACUGAGACACGGCCCAGACUCCUACGGGAGGCAGCAGUAGGGAAUCUUCGGCAAUGGACGGAAGUCUGACCGAGCAACGCCGCGUGAGUGAAGAAGGUUUUCGGAUCGUAAAGCUCUGUUGUAAGAGAAGGACGAGUGUGAGAGUGGAAAGUUCACACUGUGACGGUAUCUAACCAGAAAGCC